GCCCUAACAUUGAAAUACCUGGGACGCGUCUCUCUGCACCUUGCAUACCGCGUUUAAAACGAGAGCAUCACGGGCGAAAUCCUAGGUGGUCUCCACCAUGGCUGGCGCCGCCAGGGCUGCCCUCCCGCACGCGGCUCGGUGCGACGCGAUCGCUGUCAAAUUAUCAACUUGGGAAAUGAGACGUGUGUUGAAUUUUUACACCAGUGACAGCCCAAGGAAGGGAUCGGUGUGGUUUUUGGUACCAGGUGACACGGCUGUACUGUGCUUUAGCAGCUGGCUUAGUGAUCUCCAGGGAACUGGCGGUGGUGGGGACUGGGACUGAAGACCCAUGAGUCGUGGCUGGGUUCUGCCUCUGUGCAUCACAGUUACAGCAGCGGCAUCUGCAUGGACGGGUGAACGCCAUUUGAUUCAGCUUGUGCUUUCUCUCUCUUGCAUCAGCAAGGCUCCUGCGCUGGUUGAGAUCUUCUAAAUUCAGCACUUCAAGGAAAAAAAAAAAAAUAGGCCAUUUGAGGAACUGUGCGCAGGAGGGCUGUAGUUCUGUUGCUUAGCAGAAAGGCACCAUGCGAGGCUGUAGUUGCCCAGAUCUCUCUUCCAGGUUUGCCACGGUACUGUUUCUCAAGGUGUCUUUUCUUUUGAACCUGUGACGAGGAGUGGGAUUGUUCCCUUAGCAGCCCUCGUGUGUCCGAAGCCCGGCUGGUCAUCCCCAUCUCUCACACCUUCUGGUGAGUGCUUGACCUGAGGGCUGAUCUCCUGGCCACGGUGUCAUCAGGAGGCUGAAGCCCUGGUGUCAGAAAUGGUCUCUUUUGUAGUAAGACAGCCCCAGAUGAGAAAAUUGUAGCCAAAGCAAGGAGUGACCUUGUCAUUUAUGCUGGGUGCAGUAAUUUUGCACAUUUUCAUAAAUGUUGCUAACGCGCUAUUGCUGCCGUAUGAGCCGGUCCUUGCUUCGCUGUAGCACAGCACUGAGCUGUUAAUUAUAGGAGUCAGAGGAGAGGUACAGCUGCAAAUCUGCCCCGUCAGGAUUUAUCAGGCUCCAUUUUGUAAUCAAUGCUUUAUUUAUUAAACCAUCAGAAAAUCAUGCAUGCACUCUGGCCACGACAGCACGCAGCUCUGCUGGGGCAUUUUGUCUGAAUCGAUGGAAGCAAUCAUCUGCUUUACAUCAGCUAUCGAACCCGCACGGGUCCUCCAGUGAUGAACGGCUUUAUCGUCUGCGUGGAAUCGACUGCUGCCGAUGCCUGGAGCUGGAAGGGUGGUGUUAAAAACACUGAAUUUCUUAAUAACUUGCAUUUUCGUGCCUUUUUUUUUUUUUUUUCUGUAUCUUGCUCUGGCUUCCGUGAAGCAAACCAGAAUCUUAACUCUGCACGGCUGAAUCCCCUGCAAUUAGGGAGAGGCUCGUGAAAUGGGUUGAGAGGGAAGAUGCUGGGAAGCACAACGGAGGGUGGCUGCAGCACUGCGACCAAAGCCUGCUGGUCUCAUUGACCCGGCCAGAGGGUUGAUUCUAGGGUCAGCAGAUGACAAAAUUUCAAAGCACAGUAGCAGCAUCCUUUUAUUUUUCAACCUGCUUUGUGUUUCCCUGCAUGCCUGUGGUGGUUGAUUAAUUUUGGGAGAUGGCAGGGGUUUGCCUUAUGUUCAUUUCCGAGCACAGGUUUUAAUGGGGGUAGCACGUCCCUCUGAAACACAGGGUGUUGGGGUGGGUGUUUUGUGUUCUCCUAGCUUUCAUUUUUCUCUUACCAGAGCUCUGAUAAAGAACCAGAGCUGCUACAACUCCUGUUACCCACUGAAGGCAGCCCCUGUAACAUAAGAGACUGCUUGCCUGAGGACAUUUUAGGUUGGAAACUCACUCCAAGGACCACCAUCCUUUCCCUGUGUAAUCAUCAUGGUUGUUACAACAUCAGAGGCUCUAUUUCGCCAGGCAGUGUAAUAGUGACUAACUUUGGGUGGCACAAGGCUUGAAAGAUGCUCUGCUCGUGGUGCUCGCCCUGUUGUCAGCAAUGUGCCUGUGGAUGCUAUGAGGGAGGAACCUGGCUUGCUGUAAAUCGUUUGUCCGGGGGUUAAUUUCAGCCCCGACGUGUUUUUGACAGCUCGUUCACCCUAACGUGGGCUGCUGUACUGACACCGUACCAUUUGCCUGUUGUGUGAGGUCUGUUAUUGACAUAAUGGGGCUUUAUGGGAUUAAAGGGCUUACUGCCAGCGCUAAUUAUUCAAAAGAAUAUAUAGGCUUUUAUAAGCCUCCAAAACUAGCCUUUAUUACAUCUGCAUUAAUACAUUUCAGCUCUUUGCCAGCAGUAAUUCAGGCACACUGUUCCUUGCUUAUGACCAGUGCUUACGGGAACUUAGAGGAUUGGCAGGGAGAUGGGCACGCAGGCUAGCACUGCUUGUUGCAGUAUCAAGAAGCAGCUCCUGCAGAGUGCUGUUAUCGGGGGCUAGUGUGUAUUUCGUGCCAUGCUGGCACAAGACACACACUCUAAAUGUCCCCUUGUAAUGCCUUGGUAUCCAGUAGUGUAAUACUCAAGGAAAGACUUGUCAAUGUAUUAUAAAAAUACUGCUUUAAGUACUUACAACCCGUGUUUACUAAUACUAAUUAAUUUCUCAGAAUGAUCCCUGCAGCACAAGAGACGAGGGUACCCAAACCAUGCAGCAGGAUAAAUGUCUGCCUGUCCCCUGGGGCGGCUGUUACAAACCAGGUGUUCACCACUCCAGGUGUUCGUUUUGGCCGGUUUUGUGCUGAAUUAUAGUGAGACUCUGCAAGAUCAAGAGUUAACUAACUGGUGAUUAGUCCGACGAUAUCCUUCACGUAUGUGGAUCUACACUUAAUGUUUUCCCCUCCGUUACGGUUAGUAAUAGAAGCUCAGUGAAUGUAAGAGUUGUGUAAAGCUGCAGACGUUAUCUUCUUUCCAUCAACCCAUUUUCUGUAUAAAAGAGGUCAAAUCACAUUAGGUUUUUACCAUUGAGAUCCCAGGGCUUCAAAGAGAGCCCUGUGAGUCUGUUCAAUGGAAAAUGAAACUAAAGUAACGUGUACUUAUAUCAGUGCACUAAGACCUGCACUGAUUUCUUCUUUUUCUUGCAUUAGUUUAGAAGAGAGAAGUUAAAUAUCUGAUGAUAAAAGUGGAUGGUAAAAGAUCAUGAAUGGAAAAUGAUUACUCUUUCAAACGUCUUGUUGGACAGCCAGUUACACAAAAGGGAAAGAUUGUUACCUCAGAGUUACCAUCCUUGCUCCUCGCUUGGGUGUUAAAUGCAUUCAAAUUUAUACUA